rnacentral:rRNA from 1 species
UUUAUCGGAGAGUUUGAUCCUGGCUCAGGACGAACGCUGGCGGCGUGCCUAAUACAUGCAAGUCGAGCGGACAGAUGGGAGCUUGCUCCCUGAUGUUAGCGGCGGACGGGUGAGUAACACGUGGGUAACCUGCCUGUAAGACUGGGAUAACUCCGGGAAACCGGGGCUAAUACCGGAUGGUUGUCUGAACCGUAUGGUUCAGACAUAAAGGUGGCUUCGGCUACCACUUACAGAUGGACCCGCGGCGCAUUAGCUAGUUGGUGAGGUAACGGCUCACCAAGGCGACGAUGCGUAGCCGACCUGAGAGGGUGAUCGGCCACACUGGGACUGAGACACGGCCCAGACUCCUACGGGAGGCAGUAGGGAAUCUUCCGCAAUGGACGAAAGUCUGACGGAGCAACGCCGCGUGAGUGAUGAAGGUUUUCGGAUCGUAAAGCUCUGUUGUUAGGGAAGAACAAGUGCCGUUCAAAUAGGGGCGGCACCUUGACGGUACCUAACCAGAAAGCCACGGCUAACUACGUGCCAGCAGCCGCGGUAAUACGUAGGUGGCAAGCGUUGUCCGGAAUUAUUGGGCGUAAAGGGCUCGCAGGCGGUUUCUUAAGUCUGAUGUGAAAGCCCCCGGCUCAACCGGGGAGGGUCAUUGGAAACUGGGGAACUUGAGUGCAGAAGAGGAGAGUGGAAUUCCACGUGUAGCGGUGAAAUGCGUAGAGAUGUGGAGGAACACCAGUGGCGAAGGCGACUCUCUGGUCUGUAACUGACGCUGAGGAGCGAAAGCGUGGGGAGCGAACAGGAUUAGAUACCCUGGUAGUCCACGCCGUAAACGAUGAGUGCUAAGUGUUAGGGGUUUCCGCCCCUUAGUGCUGCAGCUAACGCAUUAAGCACUCCGCCUGGGGAGUACGGUCGCAAGACUGAAACUCAAAGGAAUUGACGGGGGGCCCGCACAAGCGGUGGAGCAUGUGGUUUAAUUCGAAGCAACGCGAAGAACCUUACCAGGUCUUGACAUCCUCUGACAAUCCUAGAGAUAGGACGUCUCCCCUUCGGGGGCAGAGUGACAGGUGGUGCAUGGUUGUCGUCAGCUCGUGUCGAGAUGUUGGGUUAAGUCCCGCAACGAGCGCAACCCUUGAUCUUAGUUGCCAGCAUUCAGUUGGGCACUCUAAGGUGACUGCCGGUGACAAACCGGAGGAAGGUGGGGAUGACGUCAAAUCAUCAUGCCCCUUAUGACCUGGGCUACACGUGCUACAAUGGACAGAACAAAGGGCAGCGAAACCGCGAGGUUAAGCCAAUCCCACAAAUCUGUUCUCAGUUCGGAUCGCAGUCUGCAACUCGACUGCGUGAAGCUGGAAUCGCUAGUAAUCGCGGAUCAGCAUGCCGCGGUGAAUACGUUCGGGCCUUGUACACACCGCCCGUCACACCACGAGAGUUUGUAACACCCGAAGUCGGUGAGGUAACCUUUAUGGAGCCAGCCGCCGAAGGUGGGACAGAUGAUUGGGGUGAAGUCGUAACAAGGUAGCCGUAUCGGAAGGUGCGGCUGGAUCACCU